ACCCUAUGGACGGGAAUAACCUCGGGAAACUGAGAAUAAUGCCCGAUAGAACAUUAUGCCUGGAAUGGUUUAUGUUUCAAAUGAUUUAUCGCCAUAGGAUGGGACUGUGGCCUAUCAGUUUGUUGGUGAGGUAAUGGCCCACCAAGACUAUUACAGGUACGGGCUCUGAGAGGAGUAGCCCGGAGAUGGGUACUGAGACACGGACCCAGGCCCUAUGGGGCGCAGCAGGCGAGAAAACUUUGCAAUGUGCGAAAGCACGACAAGGUUAAUCCGAGUGGUUUCUGCUAAAGAAACCUUUUGUCAGUCCUAGAAACACUAACGAAUAAGGGGUGGGCAAGUUCUGGUGUCAGCCGCCGCGGUAAAACCAGCACCUCAAGUGGUCAGGAUGAUUAUUGGGCCUAAAGCAUCCGUAGCUCGUUUUGUAAGUUUUCGGUUAAAUCCAUGCGCUUAACGUAUGGGCUGCCGGGAAUACUGCAUAACUAGGAAGUGGGAGAGGUAGACGGUACUCGGGAGGAAGGGGUAAAAUCCUUUGAUCUCUUGAUGACCACCUGUGGCGAAGGCGGUCUACCAGAACACGUUCGACGGUGAGGGAUGAAAGCUGGGGGAGCAAACCGGAUUAGAUACCCGGGUAGUCCCAGCUGUAAACUAUGCAAACUCAGUGAUGCAUUGGCUUAUGGCCAAUGCAGUGCUGCAGGGAAGCCGUUAAGUUUGCCGCCUGGGAAGUACGUACGCAAGUAUGAAACUUAAAGGAAUUGGCGGGGGAGCACCACAAGGGGUGAAGCCUGCGGUUCAAU
rnacentral:rRNA from 1 species